UCCUACGGGAGGCAGCAGUGGGGAAUAUUGCACAAUGGGGGAAACCCUGAUGCAGCGACGCCGCGUGAGUGAAGAAGUAUUUCGGUAUGUAAAGCUCUAUCAGCAGGGAAGAUAAUGACGGUACCUGACUAAGAAGCCCCGGCUAACUACGAGCCAGCAGCCGCGGUAAUACGUAGGGGGCAAGCGUUAUCCGGAUUUACUGGGUGUAAAGGGAGCGUAGGUGGCAGGGCAAGUCAGAUGUGAAAACCCGCGGCUCAACCCCGGUAGUGCAUUUGAAACUGUCCGGCUGGAGUGCAGGCGAGGGA
rnacentral:rRNA from 1 species